GACGAACGCUGGCGGCGUGCUUAACACAUGCAAGUCGAACGGAAAGGCCCUGCUUUUGUGGGGUGCUCGAGUGGCGAACGGGUGAGUAACACGUGAGUAACCUGCCCUUGACUUUGGGAUAACUUCAGGAAACUGGGGCUAAUACCGGAUAGGAGCUCCUGCUGCAUGGUGGGGGUUGGAAAGUUUCGGCGGUUGGGGAUGGACUCGCGGCUUAUCAGCUUGUUGGUGGGGUAGUGGCUUACCAAGGCUUUGACGGGUAGCCGGCCUGAGAGGGUGACCGGCCACAUUGGGCCUGCGAUACGGCCCAGACUCCUACGGGAGGCAGCAGUGGGGAAUAUUGCCCAAUGGGCGGAAGCCUGAUGCAGCAACGCCGCGUGCGGGAUGACGGCCUUCGGGUUGUAAACCGCUUUCGCCUGUGACGAAGCGUGAGUGACGGUAAUGGGUAAAGAAGCACCGGCUAACUACGUG
rnacentral:rRNA from 1 species